UACGUAGGGGGCUAGCGUUGUCCGGAAUCAUUGGGCGUAAAGAGCGUGUAGGCGGCUUGGUAAGUCCGCUGUGAAAGUCCAGGGCUUAACCCUGGAAAGCCAGUGGAAACUGUCAAGCUAGAGUCCGGAAGAGGUGAGUGGAACUCCUGGUGUAGUGGUGAAAUGCGUAGAGAUCAGGAGGAACACCGGUGGCGAAGGCGGCCCACUGGGCCAGCACUGACGCUGAGGCGCGAAAGCUCGGGGAGCGAACGGG
rnacentral:rRNA from 1 species